UACGAAGGGGGCUAGCGUUGCUCGGAAUCACUGGGCGUAAAGCGCACGUUAGGCGGGUCUUUUAAGUCAGGGGUGAAAUCCUGGAGCUCAACUCCAGAACUGCCUUUGAUACUGAGGAUCUCGAGUCCGGGAGAGGUGAGUGGAACUCCGAGUGUAGAGGUGAAAUUCGUAGAUAUUCGGAAGAACACCAGUGGCGAAGGCGGACUCACUGGCCCCGGUACUGACGCUGAGGUGCGGAAAAGCGUGGGGAGCAAACAGGGAU
rnacentral:rRNA from 1 species